GACGAACGCUGGCGGCGUGCUUAACACAUGCAAGUCGAACGGAAAGGCCCUGCUUUUGUGGGGUGCUCGAGUGGCGAACGGGUGAGUAACACGUGAGUAACCUGCCCUUGACUUUGGGAUAACUUCAGGAAACUGGGGCUAAUACCGGAUAGGAGCUCCUGCUGCAUGGUGGGGGUUGGAAAGUUUCGGCGGUUGGGGAUGGACUCGCGGCGUAUCAGCUUGUUGGGGGGGUAGUGGCGUACCAAGGCUUUGACGGGUAGCCGGCCUGAGCGGGUGACCGGCCACACUGGGACGGAGAGACGGCCCAGACUCGUACGGGAGGGAGCGGUGGGGAAGAUUGCACAAUGGGCGGAGGCCUGAUGCAGCAACGCCGCGUGGGGGAUGACGGCCUGCGGGUUGUAAAGCGCUGUCGCCUGUGACGGAGCGUGAGUGACGGUAAUGGGUAAAGAAGCACCGGCUAACUACGUG
rnacentral:rRNA from 1 species